GCCCAUGCCCACUAUUUUCGGGUAGGGUACGCGCGGAUACCCAUACCCAUGGGCGAAAUUGCCAUCCCUAGAAUUCCUGAUGCAGCCCAUCGGCAGAUCUGUUGGAGGAUGCUGGAGAGAAUUUGGUGCCUGCCCCAGUAGUUGCGAAUGGCGGCCUGCUGGUGGACCAGGCGAUGGCGGAGCCGUCGGUGUUGGUGCAGGAAAAGGAUGCUAAGAUCAGAGAUGCGGAGAUCUUGUCGGGCAAAAGGCAGAACUCCCCUAUGACGUCUGAACUAUCGACUGGGAAGAUGAAUUCCCAAGCACCCGGAUGGAAUAAGAGGUCAGUACAGAAGCUUGAUUGUGUGUAAUUCAUAGAUUUUAGUGUACAACUGAAGAACGCAGACACCUAUAGUGACCUGGGUUCAGAAAAGAUAGUAUGAAUAGGAUGCAGGAAGGCAAGCUAAAGAACAGGUGGAGAGAGAUGCAGAGGUCGCAAGAAGUAUCAACAGCAUGCAUAAAGGCAAGCUAAAGAGCAGGAGGAGAGAGAUGCAGAGAUCGCAAAGAAGUAUCAGGGAGAAAUUCAGCUGAAGGCAUUGCAAGAUGAACAGAGGGACAAUCAAAUAGCUAAGAUGUACCAAGAAUUAUAUGAUCAGAAUGCCACAGAUGAGCAGGUUGCAAGGGCUGCUGAAGUUGUAAAUGUUGGGGGGCCAAUUGAUGAUGUUAGUACGGAACCAAGCCAAGCAUGUGAGCAGGUUCCAAUCCCUACUCCAGUUGUAAAUGUUGGAGGGGUAGUUCAUAAUGUUAGUAGCGAAUCAAUCCCAGGAGGUGCUGGCCAGCAAGUUAUAAGGAUGUGAGAAUUUUUUUGUUCCGUGGCUCAGGAAUUGUGCUUUCGGUCGAGGAAUUCCAGAGAGGAAUUGAAUGCAGCCUAGUGGGAUGGGUGCUUCUUCUCCAGCGAGCAGUAGGGGAUCUUGCACAUGGAGGUCAUUAGAGAGGCAUGGAAAUUGUGCUUUCCGUUCGAGGUUUAAGGAGACGAAAUGAAUGCGGUUGCAGUGUCUCCACUCCAUCUAGCUCCAAGGUCAGUUUGCACAAGAGGGUGCUCAAGAGACAGAAACGCAGCCGCAAACCUCCGCCCGCCGAUGGAGUUCAUGAUGCAGGCAGUUCGAAGAUCAACUCUAAUCAAGGAGGUGGGGGAGAACAUGGUGGCAGCCUGAAGGGGUGGCGAAUGGAAUUGUUCGUACUGUGGUGGAGGUACAACUGUCCGUGAAGAUGAGUGCAGAAGCACAGAUCUAUGCGGCGGACACAUGUGCUAUUGUGGGGAAGGAAACUUCGCCGCCAACAUCCGAGUUCUUCACCGGCAAACUGAACCCCAGGCGCCUAGAUAGAAUAAAAGGCCAGUGAGCUCCCGAAAUGAUCCUUCCAGAUUGGUGCACAGAAUGGUUUACUAAAGUGGAGUGAUUGAGUUGGAUAUAGAAGUACAAGUAUAAUAUCUUAGAUUUUGAGUUUCACUGAUUUUUUUGUCAAUAAGCCGUGCAUUCCAUUAGCUCUGAAACAAAUUGCUUACUGUGAAAUGGUUGCUAGAUUUUGUGGUACAAAUACCCAUUGUUUUCAUAAUGCUGAAGGGGGUCAUUCAGAAAAUUGCGUGAUAUAUUCAGAGUGCUGAAGUUGCAGUAAGCAUUUUUCAAUGAAGAUUUAUGUGUGAAGAAGAUUUUAAGCAGUGCA